UCCCGACGGUCCGAGUCGCAGCCACAAUUAUUGGGUCUAAAACAUUCGUAGCUUGUUUGUUAAGUUCCUUGUGAAAUCUCAACUCUUAAGGUUGAGGCGUGCAAGGAAUACUGGCAAACUUGGGAUCGGAAGAAGUAAGGAGUAUGCUUGAGGUAGUAGUAAAAUAUGUUAAUCUUAAGCAGACUAACAAGAGCGAAGGCACCUUACUAGUACGAAUCCGACAGUGAGGAAUGAAGGCUAGGGUC
rnacentral:rRNA from 1 species